rnacentral:sRNA from 1 species
GGGGUAUGAAGUGUGUGCACCAG